GGUGGAAUCUUCCGCAAUGGGCGAAAGCCUGACGGAGCAAGACCGCGUGGGGGAAGAAGGCUCUUGGGUUGUAAACCCCUUUUCUCUGGGAAGAAAGUUGUGAAAGCAACCUGACGGUACCAGAGGAAUCAGCAUCGGCUAACUCCGUGCCAGCAGCCGCGGUAAGACGGAGGAUGCAAGCGUUAUCCGGAAUGAUUGGGCGUAAAGCGUCCGCAGGUGGCAGUUCAAGUCUGCCGUCAAAGACCGGGGCUUAACUUCGGAAAGGCAGUGGAAACUGAACAGCUAGAGUAUGGUAGGGGCAGAGGGAAUUCCUGGUGUAGCGGUGAAAUGCGUAGAGAUCAGGAAGAACAUCGGUGGCGAAGGCGCUCUGCUGGACCAUAACUGACACUCAGGGACGAAAGCUAGGGGAGCGAAUGGGAUUAGAUACCCCAGUAGUCCUAGCCGUAAACGAUGGAUACUAGGUGUUGUCUGUAUCGACCCGGACAGUGCCGUAGCUAACG
rnacentral:rRNA from 1 species